rnacentral:pre_miRNA from 1 species
AAAGACCGUACUUUUGCAUUGUUUAUGUCCAACGGUUGACUAUCCGUUUUAUUUUAAAAAAAAAAUUAUGAUUAGUAUUUUUGUUGUUGUUAGAUGAUAAAACAUAAAUAGUACUUUAUGUGUGACUAAUUUUUAGAAAAUCCCUUUAAAUUUUUUAAAUAAGACAGACGGUCAAACAUUUGACAAAAAAAAUUCACAAGUGCAUUUGAA